rnacentral:rRNA from 1 species
CCUACGGGAGGCAGCAGUAGGGAAUCUUUCACAAUGGGCGAAAGCCUGAUGGAGCAACGCCGCGUGCAGGAUGAAGGCCUUCGGGUUGUAAACUGCUUUUAUAAGCGAGAAAUAUGAUGGUAACUUAUGAAUAAGGAUCGGCUAACUACGUGCCAGCAGCCGCGGUCAUACGUAGGAUCCGAGCAUUAUCCGGAGUGACUGGGUGUAAAGAGUUGCGUAGGUGGCAUAAUAAGUAGCUAGGGAAAUCUGGUGGCUCAACCAUUCAGACUAUUAGCUAAACUGUUAAGCUCGAGACCGUUAGGGGAUACUGGAAUUUCUGGUGUAGGAGUGAAAUCCGUAGAUAUUAGAAGGAACACCAAUAGCGUAGGCAGGUUGCUGGGACGGUUCUGACACUAAGGCACGAAAGCGUAGGGAGCAAACGGGAUUAGAUACCCUGGUAGUC